rnacentral:sRNA from 1 species
UGGUAGAUGCACCUUGAUAACUAACUUCCCUGUUUGGUUAAAGUAAGUAGGAGCUUUUUUU